GACGAACGCUGGCGGCGUGCCUAAUACAUGCAAGUUGAGCGCUGAAGGUUGGUACUUGUACCAACUGGAUGAGCAGCGAACGGGUGAGUAACGCGUGGGGAAUCUGCCUUUGAGCGGGGGACAACAUUUGGAAACGAAUGCUAAUACCGCAUAAAAACUUUAAACACAAGUUUUAAGUUUGAAAGAUGCAAUUGCAUCACUCAAAGAUGAUCCCGCGUUGUAUUAGCUAGUUGGUGAGGUAAGGGCUCACCAAGGCGAUGAUACAUAGCCGACCUGAGAGGGUGAUCGGCCACAUUGGGACUGAGACACGGCCCAAACUCCUACGGGAGGCAGCAGUAGGGAAUCUUCGGCAAUGGACGAAAGUCUGACCGAGCAACGCCGCGUGAGUGAAGAAGGGUUUCGGAUCGUAAAACUCGGUUGGUAGAGAAGAACGUUGGUGAGAGUGGAAAGCUCAUCAAGUGACGGUAACUACCCAGAAAGGGACGGCUAACUACGUG
rnacentral:rRNA from 1 species